UACAGAGGGUGCGAGCGUUGUCCGGAAUCACUGGGCGUAAAGAGCUCGUAGGCGGUGUGUCGCGUCGGCCGUGAAAACCUGCAGCUUAACUGGGGGCGUGCGGGCGAUACGGGCAGACUGGAGUACUGCAGGGGAGACUGGAAUUCCUGGUGUAGCGGUGGAAUGCGCAGAUAUCAGGAGGAACACCGGUGGCGAAGGCGGGUCUCUGGGCAGUAACUGACGCU
rnacentral:rRNA from 1 species